rfam:Salmo salar isolate Sally breed double haploid chromosome ssa27, whole genome shotgun sequence.
UGUAUUCAGGCAUGACUAAGUUGCUUUGGAUAAAAGCGUCUGCUAAAUGACAUAUA